UUUCUUUGUUCGAAUUACAAUUUGCUCCUUCUAAUUCAUUUAUUCGUGUUUCUGGAAACUGUGUAUUCCACCACCGCCAAGCUUCUGACACAACAGAUACGUGGCUUCUUCUCUUUUCUCUUCUUCUCUUCUGCAUAUCCUUGCUUACUCACCCUCAAUUCUAUCUCUUCCCACCGCCAUUGUUUCGUAGAGCUUCCACCGCUUCAUUUUCCUUCUGCGUCCCUUCAAUGCGAUUCUUAUCCUUUUCGUUUUAAUUCUGUAAAUCAUCCGUCAAUGUGCUCCACCGCAUGGCUAAAUAACCAAUUGUUUUGGGCCAACCCGCUAUUAUAUGCCCAUUUUUUUUUUCUGUAUCUAACCUAAUCAGAAGGACUUCCAAGUUCCAUCGUUUCUAUUCUUCCCUCUCCCUACUGUAGAAAAUCGAUCGACGCUUCCAUCUCACAUACCAAACCCCUCUGCCUCUAAACUCCUCUCAUACUCGAAUUCCCCUACGUUUGGAGAGAAUGGUGAUUUCAGGGAAACGAUCAGACCCUACUGUUCUCACUUAUGCUUCUCCCCAACCGCCAUCGAAGGACCAGUGCACCACCGCUCUUUCUUUGCCCUCACACCGCAUCGACAACAAUACAAACGUAGGAAGGUGCUGAUUCAUAUGUCUAAUUGUGAUCUUUUAGGGUUUAUCCACGUCAUUUCAGAUAAAAUAUCCUCAAUAGAGAAACGACUUUAAGGUGAUUUACUGAUUUCAUAUUCGAAGGUACAUAUGGUUGUGUUUGUAAGCUUUCACAAACAUAUGAACAUAACCACAUGUGCCUUCUCGCUUUUACCUUUUCAGCUGGAUUUCUUGAUUUCCAAAGAUGUUAUAUUCCAGCUACGGACUGUCGGUCGUCCUGAUGGAUAUAAAUUUUGAACGAUAGUUGACUAUUUUACCCUUUUGUAAGUGGUUUUAAUGUUUGGUUUUAUGAUGUCUUAGGACAGAAAGAACUUGAUUUCUACUUGAAGUAGCUGCAGAACAGGGCAGAAGAGAGCUUACACAAUCUUAGUUUAUGAUCAAGUCUUCUUUUAUUUCUCAUUUAAUUUAAUUUGACCUGAAUUUUGUUUGACUUAAUGAAUUUUGAAUGGAUCAUGUUAGUUCUAUCUCCAUGGAUCUGUGCUUUUGAGACCAAUAAUCUAAUUUUAAUGUUAGAUUUUAUUUCACUAAUUUUUGUUGAUAAAACUCAACUCUUAAAUGAGUAAAGCCUAAAUGGAAAGCAUUAUGUAAAAAAGGAGACCAGAUGGAUUGGAAUUAGGACAGGAGUAGCUGCAACAACUGAAAUGAUCACUAUUGCUCUAUGUUGCACGAAUUACAAAAAGGUCAACUCUAUUAUCAAUAUUCAACACCUACAAAUUUUGAAAAAGAACAAGGAUUUGGCUGGCCUUUAAUGGAUCAGAGAGGCUAUUGGUGUUUGUGCUGGUAUAUGCCCCUUCAAUUUCCCAGCAAUGAUUCCUUUCUGGGUUUGAAAGAAUUUGAAGGGGGUGAGUGAGAAUGACUGAAUGACCUAUUGCUCAGAUGACACAAAAUUAUGAUUGGUGCAAUCAAACAACCUAAAAAGACCAUAUUGUCCCUGCACACUUUUUAUAUCGAUAAAACCAAUUUUUUCGGAUUCAAUACCACAUGGAAUGGAAUUUGUCUACACUGAUUCAUCCGAUGGCACACUCACGUACGGUGGCUACUCUGAUCACAUGGUUGCUGAUGAGCACUUUGUGUUGCAUUGGGAAGACAAUUUGCCACUUGAUUCCGGUGCUCCAUUACUAUGUGUUUUGAUCACAAACAAGUAAUAUGAUAUGUGUUUCAGAUUCAAUUUUGUUAUUUUUUUCUUUUUUAAUUUACAAAUGUUAAAUUUUAUUAUUUGGUUUUUUCUUUAGCUUAUUUAUGUUUGAUUUUUUUUUCAGGGGGGUAAAUGGGAGCAGUAGAUAACAAGGAAAUAAAUCUUCGCCUGUGUGAUCAUCGGAAUACACACCAUGAACCAUUAUGUUUAGCAAACACAACUGGCAUAAGUCACAAGUACACAACGCAAAAGUACAGUGGCUGAAUUUUGUGGAAAUAUGGAGUUAUGUAGGCUGACAAAGCACGUGGUGUUUUCAGACCCUUACAAAAUUUCAGAAUUUAACCAUUGGACUUUACCUUAUCUUGAUUAGGUUCUGUGAAAAAACACAAGCACCAUUAAUACAUGUUGAUCUCCAUAUGGGUUCGGUCAUGGUUACCCAUGAGUCAAGUCGAGUCAUUAACCCAUAAUUUGCAUUCUAUGGGCCAAUGGAGGCUGACAUUGUUGCUUUUAUUGGAAAUCUAUUUUUAGCUUAUUUUGCAAAAGAUGGACAUGUGGAUCAAGGGAAUGACCGAAAAGUAUGUAGUUUUCAUUUGAUUUGUAAUUAUGCUUUUAAAAGAAUUUUGGUUUUAAAGUGGUAAGUAUCGAGAUUACCGACAUAUAAAAAAUGGAUAAUGGAUACAAUAGCAGAAAGUUGGAAUAUUUUUUUAUAAAAAGUUUACUUCUGUUUAGGACUUACACAAAGAGGGGCCUGGUGAGGCAUACCUUCCGAAAAUUUGUAAUGAUUUGGGGUUUUGCUAGCUUGUGAAACAGAGAUUUGUUCCAUGAAUCCCUUGGAUUUGCUUAUGCUAGAAUGAUAAUGUAAUGUAAUGUUUGCGUUGUUUGACUGUU